UACGUAGGGUGCAGGCGUUAAUCGGAAUUCCUGGGCGUAAAGCGUGCGCAGGCGGUCUUUUAAGUCAGAUGUGAAAUCCCCGGGCUUAACCUGGGAACUGCGUUUGAAACUGGAAGGCUAGAGUGUGGCAGAGGGGGGUGGAAUUCCACGUGUAGCAGUGAAAUGCGUAGAGAUCGGCAGGAACACCGAGGGGGAAGACAGUCGACUGGGCAGCACCUGACGCUGAGGUGCGAGAGCGUGGGGAGCGAACAGG
rnacentral:rRNA from 1 species